UACGAAGGGGGCUAGCGUUGUUCGGAUUUACUGGGCGUAAAGCGCGCGCAGGCGGUCCUUCAAGUCAGGGGUGAAAGCCCAGAGCUCAACUCUGGAACUGCCUUUGAGACUGUAGGACUUGGGUAUGGGAGAGGUGAGUGGAAUUCCGAGUGUAGAGGUGAAAUUCGUAGAUAUUAGGAAGAACACCAGUGGCGAAGGCGGCCACCUGGCUCGGUACUGACGCUCAGGUUCGAAAGCGUGGGGAGCAAACAGG
rnacentral:rRNA from 1 species